AGGAAGAACUUGUUGUCUUCACAUGAUCUUGAAAUUUGUGAGACAGUGUGUCCUCCCUCA
rnacentral:pre_miRNA from 1 species